AAAAUGCGAUACUUGGUGUGAAUUGCAGAAUCCCGUGAMCCAUCGAGUUUUUGAACGCAAGUUGCGCCCGAAACCAUUCGGUCGAGGGCACGUCUGCCUGGGCGUCACGU
rnacentral:rRNA from 1 species